rnacentral:rRNA from 1 species
ACUACGGGUGGCAGCAGUGAGGAAUAUUGGUCAAUGGGAGGAAUCCUGAACCAGCCAUGCCGCGUGCAGGACGACGGCUCUACGAGUUGUAAACUGCUUUUGUACCGGGGUAAAAUGCCUUACGUGUAGGGUUUUGAAAGUACGGUACGAAUAAGGAUCGGCCAACUCCGGGCCAGCAGCCGCGGUAAUACGGAGGAUCCGAGCGGUAUCCGGAUUCAUGGGGUGUAAGGGAGGGUAAGUUUUUUUUUAAGGUAGCGGUGAAAGAACCAUGCUCAACAUCGGGGCUGCCGCUAAUACUAUAGGACUAGAGAUCGGAUGCAGCAGGCGGAAUGUGUAGUGUAGCGGUGAAAUGCAUAGAUAUUACACAGAACACCGAUUGCGAAGGCAGCUUGCUAGGCCGGAUCUGACACUGAUGCACGAAAGCGUGGGGAUCGAACAGGAUUAGAUACCCCAGUAGUC